CUCGGUCAUCCAUCUUAACAUGGGCUAAUAUUGACAUAGUGUUGUCAGAAUACACAGACAACUAAACAGCCAAAGAGUUUACAAAAAAUAAAUUCAUGAUUCUUCAAAACAACUGCAAAAGGUUACAAGUAUCAAAACUCUUAGGUAGAUGCACUGCAUUAAAAUAAACUGUGCACAUAAGUUAAGAGGCAAAAAAAAAUUUGCUACCAAAACUUCACAUUUCAAACAGUUUAUUGUAAACUGAUGAACAGGGUUGUCAUUUCACAUCAGCUUAACUGUUUGCAUUGACUGAAAAAAAAUUGAGGUGGCUAGUUUACUUCGCAUGCACAAAAUGUACUGCUUAACAGAAGAGUCAGCUCAUUUCAAAUGGCAAAAAUUUAAACUGGAAUCUAAUCAUCUUCAAUCGUUUUCCAUUAUUCUUUCCCAUCUGUUCUAAUCAACAGGCAAACUAAAAAUGCCUCAUUUAAUAUAUAUCUUUCUGCACUGUUAAAGUGCAACUAAGAUAACUAGGGCCAAUAAACCAAUCAAUCCAUCAACGCCCAUGAAGGCUCAUCUGAAACUGCUUCUUGAUAAAGUGGACAGCAAAUCUGAACAGCUGUACAAUACAGAUAUGCUUAGCACUAGAUAUUUAGUGUGACUGUGGCAAGGUAAUAUUGGUGAUGACAGGGAUUGUGAAGUGGAUGAAAGACAGAUCAGAGGAAAGCUUUUUAAUUAUUGCCCUCUCCUGCUUCUUCAUCUUGCUGGUCACUCGUCCACAGAGUGAGGUUAUCUCGAAGUAACUGCAUGAUGAGAGUGGAGUCCUUGUAGGAAUCCUCAUUUAGUGUGUCCAGCUCUGCUAUGGCAUCAUCAAAGGCUUGUUUGGCUAAAAGGCAAGCUUGCUCAGGAGCAUUCUGGAUUUCAUAGUAGAACACCGAGAAAUUGAGUGCCAGCCCAAGCCUAAUUGGGUGGGUAGGCUGCAUGUGCUCUUUGCUGAUUUCAAAGGCCUCUUUAUAGGCAGCUUCUGAGGCUUCCACAACACUGUUCUUCUUCUCUCCAGCAGCAACUUCUGCCAAAUAGCGGUAAUAAUCUCCCUUCAUUUUCAGAUAAAAAACCUUGCUCUCAUACUGGAAGUCAUUGCAGUUCUUGAUCAAGUACUUAUCGAGGAGAGCCAAAACAUCAUUGCAGACUGUCUCAAGUUCCUUUUCUAUCUUCUCCCUAUAGGCUUUAACCUUCUCCAGCUUCUUCUCGUUCCCAUCAGCCAUAGUCUUCUGCUCUAUGCUGCUGAUGACACGCCAGGAGGAUCGUCUAGCUCCAACUACGUUCUUGUAGGCUACAGACAGCAGGUUUCUGUCCUCAUUUGAGAGAGGCUCAUUCAGCUCAGUUACCGACUUCAUGGCCGAGGCCAUGUCGUCGUAUCUCUCCGCCUGCUCGGCCAGGCGGGCUCGCUGCAGCAGCUGCUCUCGGUCCCCCAUGGCCGCUUCCGUGGUGGCUGCCGGGCUGGGCACUGAGCCCUUCAGACGGUGAGGAGAGGGGCGGGGGUCCGCGCCUCAGGACGCGCGGGCGGUGCGAGGAUACGAGCGCGCGUGGAGAGCGCAGCGCAGCCGCCGCCUCCCGCCCGCUCACCGGGCGACCGUUAGGCUCGCCGCGCCUCACGCGCCGGGCGACGGUUGGCGCCUCGCGCUCAGGGGCUGUAGCCGCGCGCUCGCUGCGUCCCCUCGGCGCCGCGUGCAGCUCGCGCCUCUCCGCCCGGCUCGGAGCCUCGCGCUGCUGCCGCCGGCUGCGCCUGCGCGCUAGGAAGGCAACGAGGGGGCGGAGCCGAGGGGACUGCAGGGGAGGGGAGGGGGGCGCUGCUCCCUCGCGUUCUAUUUCUAGGUGACGUCACUUGCUAUAAAUAGCCAUCCCGGGGCGCCGGCCGGGGGGAGGCGCAUGCGCGCUGCGAGUGCUGCAUUUUACUGCUGCAAAGGUGGAGGUGGGCGGUGGGCAUUGCGGAGCCGGGCGGCGCCCCGCAGCGCGGCUCCGUGCGGUGCCGGGCGCGGCUGCGGCUCCGGCGCGCUGCGAAGCGCGGGAGCGGCGGGCGCAGCCCGGCUCCGGUCCCCAUCCUCAGAGCCGCCGCUACAUUCGGCUUUCCCCGUGUCUUGCUUUUUCAUAGUUGAGCUCUUUAAGAAAUCGAGCGGCCGUACGUCAAGAUCGUCGCUAAGGAACGGCGCCGCGCGACGCGCUGCUGUGCGCAGGGCUGGCACAGAGCGGUGCGCGCCCGGGGCUCCGUGCAGCGCUCAGCGCUCCGCGCCUGCCGUGCCCGCUGCCGUGCUGCAGUGCAUUGACAGCGGAUCGCAGAGCGUUUCUAAAACCACUCACUCGCCCACUGAGCCAGAGAGCGCGCGUUAAUCCAGCAAAUACAUGUGGGUAUGUCCACGAAAACACUGUCAGUGAUUUUUCCCCCCCUUUUUUUUUUAAAUUGAAGCUUCUGUAUAAUGGCUAUUUACCAAUCUAAAGCAGCCCAGAAAUUCCCAGCUCUGAAUGCACGCGGUGAUACGUAACAGCACUGACCUAACAGCCAGGGGGAGGCUGGAGCCUUCAGCUCAGCCAGCACGGCAGCAUAGCACUCAGAGCCGCUGGUUUGUCCAGGUUGCCCUCCCAGAAGGCUCUGCACAGCACCCUAUUUGCUGAGGGCUGCGUGAACCUUUUCUCUAUGGGGAAUUUACACGCCACCACUCCAUGGGCUGCUGGUCAGACUCUGGCUCGCAGUGGUGGAACCACAUCUCAUCUCCAGGAAACUCACCUUCAGCCUUGUAUUGGUUCAAUGGGUCCUACUCAGACUGCAUUCUUUCUGUUCCUGUGUGAGCAUUUGUAGGACACACCUGAUGCAAGCUUUGUGGUAUUCCAACGCAUUGAAGCCAGCAUUCACCUCCACACACGGUUCCCUGGUCCUAAUGUGCUGAUUCACACAGGUGAGCUGAUGGAGGUACUCUUCAUUUCAUGGUGUGACAGCUGUGCAUGGCUGUCCAGGUCAUGGCUUGUCUGACACAUCACUGUCAUCACUGCUGAAAUGCAACAUUCACUCCAUCACAGUGCUCAUGUGCACUGUUUGGUCUCCAGAACCAUCUGGUAAGUGUCAAUGGGUGCCAUUUUUUUCCACAUGGAGGAAUUCAAUGAUACACCUUUGCUUCAUGCACACCUCCAUGUCAGAUGGCAUUCUGUCAGAGUGCCCCUCUGCUGCCAUCUGCCACACAGCAACAGGAUGUAAUGGGGACGGAGGUGGGGAGGUUCAACCUCUACUGCUGUACCACCAACAUCCGCCACUGACGCUGUGGGCCAACAUAAUAAAAUAGGAGGCAUUACUUUUGGAGCAGGCCUCAUAUACAGCACCCAGUGCUCCAGCCUUCAGCUACAACAGCAGUGCGGCUCCCAGAACCUAUAAGGUACAAAGAGAAAAAAAUCAGAGCUCAUGCAAAGAGUCUUAAUCUGCUACAGUAUUUGUAAGCUGGGUUACAAAAAGAAAAAAGAAAAAGGAAUGUCAGCAGAUCUUUUCCUGGAGUGCUGAAUGUGGUGUCAAAGCACCUAACUCAUCCUCCUGCUAAAGCUCAGAUGCCAGGCAUCACCCAUCAUGUCCCAGAGCUCCAUGUUCCCAGCAGAGCUCACAAGGCAGGAUUUAGAGCUGCUGGCCCGGCAACCACACCCAGAGGGAGUCUGUAGAUGGAGAAACUCAUGGUUCUGAAAAUUGCCCCAUGACCUCAGGCGGUGGCUCCGCUCCACAGGCACAUCUAAGUGUGUUGGCUGGCCCUGCUGCUCCACAAAUAGCUCCCUGCUGGAAGGCCGAGCCAGCUCGCUGUGCAGGACACUGGGGACAGCACGGCAGCCACACACGGAGCAGCCCAGCGCUGGUGUUCAGCUGAGGGCACAAGCUACAGGGCAUGCUGACAACAAGGAAAGGCAACAGGGAACGGCCACACAGCGCAGCAGAGCCUGCCCAGCCUUCCACUCUGUGUGGUUGCUCUGGCAGCAGCGGGGCGGCACACGGCUCCUGCAGCACUGCUCCUGAGACUCACAGCACCAAGGCAGUGGUACGGCAACAUCCCUGCUACCAAUGUCUGCCUCAUUCCUGGAGCUGCAGCAUGGAAGCGUUUUACACAGGGAGCUGCUAAAUGGCAUGGGCUUGGGGACAAAGCAGUGAAAAGCAGAGAACAGAAGCAAGGAGCGAGCAGUGCAGGUUAACCAGCACCCGCACCACAAGGCAGGAAGUGGAGAUGGGCAGGGAGACAAAGAGGUGGGGAGUGUGUGGGCAUCUGAUCCUGGAAAUGCUGGAACUGGCACUUCUGUGGGGCACAGCGUUCAGAUGGCAAGGGCAGAUUGUUUCAUGGGCUUAGGACUAUCUACAUUUAUUAUUGUUAGAAUCCUGGCAGCGCGGCCCCACAAUGAAGUGAGAUAAGUGCACAUCAGGGAGGGAAGGUGCUGCAACCAAUGGCAAGAUCAGAGCAGAAGAUAGGAGUGGGUGUAGCUGAAGUGUGAUGAUUCUUUCCCAAACCUCAAGAGACUAUAAUUUCAAUGAUAUAUUUCUGGCCAAACUGUACACCAGAGUUUAACAAGCAACAGAACUCUUUAGGCUGUCACAGUGUGUGUGAAAAUAUCCUACUACUUGCCAUAUUUCAAGUUCUUAUUAAUCUUCAAUCACUCUCACAGAACCUCCCUCGUAACUCAAAGGUAAAAGCCAGAAUGAAGGGAGAAAGAUGGCAGUGCCGGAGUGCUGCUCAGAAGCAGCAGGGCUCAUGCUGUGAGCUGCACGUACUGCAUAUCUGCACCAACAGGAGAUCAUUAUGGGAAAAGGGCAGUGAUUUGCACAUCUGAGAAGCCCUUGCUCCCUCGGGGCAGUGGACACGUAUACCAGCCUCACUGGGGAUCACUGCAGUGCAUGCGGUAUCGCUCCGCAUUCAGACACAGCAGCCUUUUGCAUGUUCAAAAUCCCGUGCAGACAGGAGCUGAGAUCCUCAGAGCUCUCUGGCAAAAUGUGCUGUUUUCAAGCACUUGCUCAUUUCAGAGUCCAGUGAAGAAUGAGUGCUAUGUCUGAGUAAAAGAUUGUGGCAGUGUUUUUAGGUGCCAGAAUGAUUCAGGGAUAUGCACGGGAGGCUGUGAAGCAUGCUCAGUCGUGGGGGUUUCUCUAAGUGGCAAGAACACAGCCCCUAAUUGAAAGCAGCUUUAACUCUUCAUGAGCUGCUUCAAACCACAACGCCUGCCCCAGUCCAGAUACAAGAAUGUGUUUUCAUUCUUUAUGUAAUCAAAGGGAUAUAACCAGAAUUUACAAGCAUAAAGAGGAAAAAAAUAUAAAAGCUUGCUUAUCCGAAACUUGCACCUGAGCAUCCUAAUGCUAAAAGCCUCUACACGUAAACAACGUCUAUGCUAAGUGAAUACUGAAAGUCAAAAACACACACACAUCCACACACAAAAACAAAACCCCAACAAUCCUACUCCACCUCAGGGCUUCUCGGAGGUGCUGAGCAUUUGCAACCUAUAGAUAAAGUCAGAAUUUCCAUGCCCAGCACUUCUGGAACUACCCCCAAAACAUCUGGUGCAGGGCUACACAAUUAUGGACUCAGUGUCAGCAAACAUUUAGGAAAUAUGUCCAGAUCUUUCUUGACAAAUUAAUUUUUACUGCUCUUCAAGCUAUACCAAAGUGGAUUAGCUUGAUUCGGAAGUGGAUUAAAUCCCACUGAAAAUGACUGAUCUGAAACAAUGACCUUUCACUGCAGAACAUAACAUGAAAGACUUUGGGGAUCAGACUAAUGAAGCGCAAAGAUACAAUGCCUUUGCCACCAUUUCCAAAAGCGGCCCCUUAUUCCUGGUGCCCUACUCAAGCCUCUGUAAGUGCUCAUUUCUUCUGAAAAUGAGGCCCUAAGCAAGUUGAGCCCAGCACCCAGAACAACAGGCUUCCUGAAAAGAUGGGCCUUGAAGUCAUCUCUCCUGAUAUUUGUCCAGAAUGGGCCUCGGGUGAGCCCAUUCAGUAACAAUGAUAGCUCGUAGCUGUCACAGCACAUGAAAGCAGGGAGAGCUGCUCCUCACAUCAUUAAUCUUCUUUCAUGCUGUCCUGGAUUACUUCAGAGAAGCUAUUCAUGGGCAGCCGCCACACAGGACCUCUCUGCUGCCAUUUCCAUGCCACACUUCCAACCAAGAUGUCUGGUAGGCAGCGCUCAGUCUGACCUCAGCAGCAGUGGUGCUGGGAAACGUGUGUGCCUGCCCCUUGGGAAAGCAUCCUCGCCUCUACAGCAGCCAAGGAACUGCACUCCCAGAAACACUCCCAGAUUUCCACCUCCUUUCUGUGACCCGUUAACACAAGUACUGUUCUUUGGGCUCUUAUAUGCAUUUUAAGAUAAAAAUGGCUUUGUUUUUCCUAUCUAGGGCAACCUCCUCUCUUUGCUAGGGCACGCCAUGUUGAGGAGGAGGAAUGACAACAGCAGGUACAGUACAUUCAGUUCAGGGAAGGUCAGUCACAUGCUCAGAGCAUUUCUAAUUACAGCUCCACAGAAGAAGAACAUAAACACAUCCAGAGCUCGCUACAUAUGGCAGGACAGGGAAUCCAGAUCAUGAUGAGGAUGUAAAUCACAUCUAGGAAACAAGAAUAAGGUAAUACGUAAAGGGAACAAUUCAAACAUGUGAGCACAACACAAAGAACUCCACUGCACUGUCCCUGGAAGACCAGCUCCACCCAGCACUGCAGGCAGGAGGCCAGGUGCCGAGUGCCACUGGUGUUCAGGUUCACUCGAUCUCUUCCUCUGCUGCACAGCAGUGCCUCCAGCCUGUGCUUGCUGAUGGGCAGAGAAGCAGCAGCAGCCCACCUCUGAGCUCAGCUCGGCUGCCUG
rnacentral:lncRNA from 1 species